AUGCUGUUGUGUAUUCAUAGCAAGAUCAUUAGAAACCUGUAACACUGUUACUCCUUUGAUGUACGACCAGGCAGUUAAGAACUAGUGAACACAAAGAACUCUCCCGACAACAACAGUCAGAAGAACAGACUCAUAUCUGAAGUGUCAAACAUUUCUGUAUCCAAUGCAUUCAUUAUGUAUAAGACUUCAUUAACAGUGAUAAACCAAAAUGUGACUCUACUCAAGAAGAAUAAGAAACACAUUGCACACUACUGCCCUUUCUGUCCUAAUUAAAGCUGUCUAGUCAUAACAAUGCUGUUUUUUAUCAGUGUGACAUAUUUUGACUGUGGCCAUAGGGAAAUCUGCUAAUCUUCCUUAACACAAUCUGAACUGUUUGAAGGGCACAGUAAAACACACAAAUUCCAUGGCAUUCCCUUAAUUUAUGACUAAGUAAUGAUGCAUAAGUGUUUUUUUUUCUUCUUUCUUUAUUUAGUAGAACCCAAGGCCAAUUUGCGUUUGAUUAACACAACAAUUAUGAAAACAGCAUGAAAUGGAUCAAUUUCCUCAUACGAGCUCAGCAGAAUUUGUAAAUCUUACGUGCAAGAGUACCAAAUGAAGGAGCGCUUGGAGUCAGGGAUGAAGGUGUCGGGGAUCCAGAGCAAGGACACGAGGCGUCCAUCCACGCUGACGCUCUCAUUUCCCGGGAACACCAGCCUGGAGUCCCGCCAGCGCUGACGAAGGAAGAUGGUUGCAGUGUAGUCCUAAAAAGGUAUUGCCAUCACAUUGAAAAGCUCCCAGGACCUCAGCAAAGCAUUUCCAUUAAAUUCCAAUGUAUUAUUUACACAGCUCUGCCAAUGUGAUUAAUGACGCAUAUGAACACUAUUUAUUUUCUCUUUCUAAUGGCCAUAAUGAAAGUUAAAGAGCCAUAGAAUGUCAUUUGGUUGUUUUUCUACACAUGCCAGUUGAUGAUUCAUUCACGCAACAAUAUGUUUCAUGAGUUAUCUUUACCACUUUGCAGCUUUGGCUAAAGUCUCAGCUGAUUAUUGGUGUUGGUUUAGGCAUGCCCUCUUCCUUCUCUCAUCCCGCUUUCACACUCCCUAUCAGUUCUUUUCCUUCAGCCAUGUUUCAGCUAAUAGAUUUAUAAUAUAUCUCUUUAUUUCUUUUCUUUACGUUUGCUCAGUCUGUGCAUGCACAUGCCAAAGAAAUAUGUAUUUAUAUAUCCCAUCUUGUUAAAAAAAAUAUGUUUACACAAUGUUCUCAUUCUCAGGUUUGGUCUCAUCACGGCUCUCUCUUUCUCCUACCUGUUUC